AAUUGUGACUAAUACUUGCAAUUCAUGACAGUAUCAACAGAAGAAGCACCGGCUAACUACGUGCCAGCAGCCGCGGUAAUACGUAGGGUGCAAGCGUUAAUCGGAAUUAUUGGGCGUAAAGGGUGCGCAGGCGGUUUUGUAAGUCAGAUGUGAAAUCCCCGGGGCUUAACCUGGGGAAUUGCGUUUGAAACUACAAGACUAGAGUGUGGCAGAGGGGGGUGGAAUUCCAUGUGUAGCAGUGAAAUGCGUAGAGAUGUGGAAGACAUCGAUGGCGAAGGCAACCCCCCUGGGUUAACACUGACGCUCAGGCACGAAAGCGUGGGGAGCAAACCAGGAUUAGAUACCCUGGUAGUCCACGCCCUAAACUAUGUCAACUAGUUGUCGGAUCUAAUAGAUUUGGUAACGUAGCUAACGCGUGAAGUUGACCGCCUGGGGGAGUACGGGUCGCAAGAUUAAAACUCAAAGG
rnacentral:rRNA from 1 species